GCUUAUUUUUGGGCGCGGCUUUGCCCGCGGCCUAUUUUUGGCACACAGAGGCCCUUGUAAAGUCUCGCGGCAUUCCGAGUCCGGCGGACGAAGUUGGCAAGCCCCACCCCCCAAGGCUAUAGCCCACCCGUUUUUGUGGCCUUUUUCCGCUGGACGAACUUGGCGCCCCGGCCUUCGGGCGGUUAUUUUUGGGCAAGGCUUUGCCCGCGGCCUAUUUUUGGCACAUGGAGGCCCCUCGCUAAGUCUCGCGGCAUUCCGAGUCCGGCGGACGAAGUUGGCCAGCCCCACCCCCCAAGGCUAUAGCCCACCCGUUUUUGUGGCCUUUUUCCGCUGACCAAACUUGGCGCCCCGGCCUUCGGGCGGUUAUUUUU
rnacentral:lncRNA from 1 species